rnacentral:tRNA from 13 species
UGCGUCGGUCGCGAGUCGAACCCGGGUCAACUGCUUGGAAGGCAGCUAUGCUAACCGUUAUACCACCGACGC